CAUUCAUUUGACAGAGGGUAGGA
rnacentral:piRNA from 1 species